CUCAAGUCAAUGUGUGCCUGUGCCAUUCCACGUCUUGGGUUGGCAGUGUCUGCCAACAGUGGCCGUCGCUAGUUGUUUGCAAUAUAUUACAAGUAUUUCCUGAUCAGUGACAAAGUGCUCGAUGUCGAUUGCAACAGUCUGAGCAGGAUUGGGAGGAGGGGGAAAUUAAGUUAUACAGUGUUCCACUGACAAAUACCAGGUAGUUAGAAAUCUGUAUUCAUGUCUGUCGUCGUGUUUGCAGAAUAAAUCCGAAAAUGCAAGUCUUCCUGCUGUUCUCGUCACUUCAGUGCAGGAGGCUGUUUAUGUUAUGAGAAUAAAGUUGAGAGGGAGCUCGUCAACAAUCCUUCACAUAAUACAACUGGUGGUCAGUGGCAACUAUUAAUAGAGCUGUAACUGCUGCACCAAUGAACUUUUCAGCUGUUGGAAGACGAAUACUAAAUUAUAGCCUACUGUGACCUUCCUUACAACCACCGUGGUCACUCUCACCUUCUGGAAAAUGCUGAUUAUAUUGGCUGGUGUGUCCAGGAAAAACAGGAAGUUCUUUCUCUCAGAUGGAGUUAGCGUCCGGAGCAAGGUCUCCGUCUUUCCGUCAUUUUUGAAGCUCGUUAGGCCAAUGAACUCCUCAGCCAUAAGUUCAGAUAGGGCAUGUUGACCAUAGUCUGAAGAAGAAAAUUGUAAAGGAUGUGCUUGAGAUAGGAAGAUCUCUUGUUGGAAAAUGCUUAUCAAGAAAGACACAAAAAUGGUCCCAGCAUGGCAUGAAGCUAAAUAGAAGGAACAGGCUUUUUAGUGGAGUUGACAACUCUUCAGAUGUCACCAUUGAGAGAUAAGCUAAUUUUCAGUUUUUUAUGGGUACAGGAGAAUGAAAGAAUUGGAAUAAUUUUCUUACAUAAAACAUUUAAUGUUGAUGCUUAACAGUUUGUUGUUGUACAUUGAAAAGUUUGAGAAAUCAUGAGCAAUAGAAAAUAACACAUUUGAUGUAUACUACAGAAGACAGACUGAAAGAGGUACUACAAAAAAUUCAUGGGCCUUACUAUUCAUAGCUUGAGUGAUCACAACUACCUUAUGAAAAUAAUUUGUAGAUAGUGGAUAGUUGUUGCUUCAAAUUCAUAAGUGUCAUGAAUUUUUUUUAUAUAUAAGCAGCAAAAUGUAUGCAUACUGAAGGAGAGCUACAAUCAAACAGUCCUGUGGUGACAGAUACUUUUCACUCUGUUGCAUGUAUUAACGUAGUUGCUGCACUGUCGCUGAUCUAAUUACGUACAGCAUCUUCAUGCUGUUAGCUACAAUUCUUAAAGAAAAUUUAUCACAAUGUUUUAGGUCCUAAUAUAUUCUAAUGAUUGUACUAGUCUAAGGACACAUUUCGGAUCCUUUAAAGGCUUUUUAACUUUAGACUUGGUGAACCACAACCAGGUUAAUCCAAAGACAUGACCAAGCAGUGUUGUUAAGAAGAGCGUUAGUGGAAGAUGAUAAUAACUUAAUUGUGCAUACAUUGUUCUUGGAGUAGUUGCAUACAACCAUAUUGCCCAUGACAUGUAUACACAACUUUCACUAAACUGGAUUACUGGAUCAUAUAUCUGGCUGUAAUUGUACUUAUCAAUUUCAUCUCUGUAUAAUUCUACAUUUUUAAUUUUUUUUGCAUAGAUGAGAUGGCCAAUCAGAGCUAUUAUGCCUACAGCCUUAACAGAUAAAUAGCAUGCAGCUGCAAGAGGUAGGCUGUUGACACCUAGACCAAUCACCAGCAUGGCCCUUGUCACUGUAAAGAAAAUAAAAAUAAACAUUCAACCUUCAAGAUAUAUGAAUAUUCUGCAAUCUCCAGCAUAUUUAGUAAAUUACCAAAACAACAAACAUUACUGCAGACUAAUUAGGGUACCUGGAGCACUACUAACUGUUAAUGCGGGCCAUGGAACACUCCUGUCUUGACUGACUUGCAGCUGUUAUACCACUACUUCCUAUGUUCAUGAUGCUUGCUCUAUGUGCAGCACAAAUACACAUAUUGACACAAGUCUCAACUGUGAUGGUGGAGUACUUCAUGAAAAUUUCUGUUCAGAGAUGCAAGUGUUAAACUGCAGUGGCUCACUCACCCCCUUUCCAGCCGCAAGGACAAAGUAGGAUGGUUAAGCAGUGUCCGUCCAACCCUCAUUAUAUACGUGUCCAUGCCAUAUAUUUUGAGGUUUCAUUCAGUUUUGCUGGUGCUGGCUACCACUUCUCUCAGCAACUUCAUUUGUAAUGCCAUCCUUCCCACUACAUUGUGAUCGUCAAUUUUACAAUUAAUCCUUUUGAAAAUCUUCUCCAUAUAGUAGUUUGUAAUGGUUGAUGUCUUUGCCCCUUUGUAUAUAUUUUUGGUGGGCAAUGUCAAGAACUGAUUUAACUGCAGUCAUAAUAAAACCUCUUUUCUGAAAUGAGUUGUCUGUCUUGCUUUUUAUGUAGUUAUGAAACUUGUGGACUAAAAAUUAUGCUCAAUUACUAUGGAAGUCAUUGAUGUACAUUCUGCCAUCUAGUAAUAUUCUGUAAGACAGAAGUCUUAUAGUAAAUAUCAUCAGCAGCCAGUAGUGGCUAAUCUUUGAGGGUUAAGGAUUUGUUGAAUUCCAUACGUAGGGCACUUGAUAACUACAAGAAUGAGAAAUGUUUAUUUUGUUAGCAGGUAUCAUGGACUAACUAGGAGAUUCGAAAAUGACCAGCAGUAGUUUACUGAUCACGACACGAAGAUCAACUUCAUUAUGAAAUAAUGUCACGACACCAUAUACAGUGCAAGGUCAUAUUCAUUGAAAAAAAAAAAGUUUAACUUUGUAUCAUAUAGAGUAGGUUUAUGAAGAAUUGUUAUUUACAUAAAAGCAGCAUAAGAAGGCUCUUUAUGAACUUUCAAUAUACGCACAGAAAAUUUUCCUAAUUAAAAAAUUCUUGUGUUAUUAUUCUGCCACCCUAAAUGAAAGGAACCCAUGCCUAGGUCAUAUGCAACAGGAUAACUGGGUAUUACAUGCAUGGUCUCUCCUUAGUGCUUCAGACUUUUGUUGGAUUUCAUUAUCACAGGGUAUUUGGGUAUAAUGUAUUAGAAGCAACAGUUCAAAGCACAUCUUGAGUCGUUGUGAAGAUGGUUGCCAUGUGAAUUAAGCCCCUCUAUUGGGAUAUACAUACCAUUUGGCUCGCCUUUUUCUGACAAAAAUGUUGGAUUUUAAUGAUAAGCUUACUUAAAGGCAGUAAUUAAGAAAAUUCUUUCAGAUUUCUUUCAGCUACUGUAGCCUUUAACUUUAAUGUACAAGCCAUACUUUUUUUAACCACAAGUAACCUGACUUUUUAUUGUGUAUGUAAUACUCUAUAUAUAUCUUCUGCUUACUAAGUCAACUAAAUACUAAUAACUGAUUGUUUAUGAAUGCUCCUGAUUUACACUAA